AGUAAAACGUUGAGUAAGAGGAGUAGUUGUGCUAGAGAAUCACAGAGAGUCGGCGUUGGUGAGAGUUCGGCAUUGGAAAGCAUAAUGAAUGGGCUUACGAGUGGGAUCUGAAGAUUUAGUAGGUGACCCGGGUUUCUCCCGUUAUAGAGAUAGGAUAUCGGUGAUUGUACCUGUAUCUGAAAAAGUGGGUUAGAUUUAUGACCAAUUGAGGUGGCACCGCGAUCAUUCGUCCUCUAU
rnacentral:ncRNA from 1 species